rnacentral:rRNA from 1 species
AUGAUUAUUUACAAUCUGUAUUCCUGGGAAAUUAGGUUUGGAAUUAGGUAUGGAAAAAGGAGACUAAACGUUGAGAGAACAAAAUGUAUGCAGGAGAUAGUCUGCGACUGCUCGGGGGUCCCAAAAAGAAGUAAUACACGGUCUUGCCGGUGUAGGUGCCCAGCGAUGAUAUGGUUGCUCCGGUCAAAAGACAACAGCUGGUACAUGACAUCCCAUAAUCACUCUCUUACAGAUAAGUCUGGCUAG